rnacentral:rRNA from 1 species
CCCUUAGAUGUCCUGGGCCGCACGCGCGCUACACUGAUGCAUUCAACGAGUAUUUCCUUGGCCGAGAGGCCUGGGCAAUCUUUUAAACCUGCAUCGUGAUAGGGAUAGAUUAUUGCAAUUAUUAAUCUUGAACGAGGAAUUCCCAGUAAACGCAAAUCAUCAAUUUGCAUUGAUUACGUCCCUGCCCUUUGUACACACCGCCCGUCGCACCUACCGAUUGAAUGGUCCGGUGAAAUCUCGGGAUUGUGGCCAGUUCACUUUAUUGGGAGUUGGCUGCGAGAACUUGCUUAAACCUUAUCAUUUAGAGGAAGGUGAAGUCGUAACA